rnacentral:rRNA from 1 species
CAUGGAGGGUGAGAAUCCCGUUCGGUUGACCUUGUGACGCUUUACGAUACGUUUUCAAAGAGUCGAGUUGUUUGGGAUUGCAGCUCAAAAUGGGAGGUAAAUUUCUCCCAAGGCUAAAUAUUGGCGAGAGACCGAUAGCGAACAAGUACCGUGAGGGAAAGAUGAAAAGAACUUUGAAAAGAGAGUAAAAUAGUACGUGAAAUUGUUGAAAGGGAAACGGUUGAAGUCAGUCGUACCGACGGAAAAUCAGCUUUUUGAGUGCGGACUUGUGGGUUUAUGUGAGCCUUACGGCCUCGUUGUUUGCAAUGUUCGUUCUUUUUGGGUGUACUUUUUCGUAUGGUUGGCCAAUAUCAGUUUCGAUUGCUAUAAAAUGACCGGCGGAAUGUAGCUUCGAUCUCGUAUUGAAGUGUUAUAGCCUCUGGUAAAUGUGGUGAUUGGGACUGAGGAUUGCAACGAAUCCCUUCUGGGCUAUCCGUCUGAUCUCUGAAAGUUGCUUAGGUGCCGAAAGCGUGCUUACGGUUAUUUAAGUUGACGGUCAAAAGGUUAGAACGUGAUUAUAUUCGUUAAGGAUGUUGACGUAAUGG